rnacentral:lncRNA from 1 species
UCACAUGUGUAUCUUCGCCGUCUGGACUCCGUUUAAACUAUUCUUAGGCUCAUUGGAUUUCAUUCAUCAUCUUGGACCUCAUUGUAGGCUUAUUGUGGAUCGAAUCUUGAGAUAUUUUUUUCAACAUAAGUAUCCAUCACAAUCUCAACUCUUCAAUCACUUAUUAUUUUGUACUAAUCUUAUGCAUGUAUAGACAAUAUGAUGAGAUAUUGAGA